rnacentral:pre_miRNA from 8 species
CUCUGGAAAGCCCAUGUGUAUCCUCAGCUUUGAGAACUGAAUUCCAUAGGUUGUGUCAGUGUCAGACCUGUGAAGUUUAGUUCUUUAGCUGGGAUAUCUCUAUCAUCCUAGAUUCGAG